UACGAAGGGUGCAAGCGUUACUCGGAAUCACUGGGCGUAAAGCGUGCGUAGGCGGUUGGUUAAGUCUGCUGUGAAAGCCCUGGGCUCAACCUGGGAACUGCAGUGGAUACUGGCCAGCUAGAGUGUGAUAGAGGAUGGUGGAAUUCCCGGUGUAGCGGUGAAAUGCGUAGAGAUCGGGAGGAACACCAGUGGCGAAGGCGGCCAUCUGGAUCAACACUGACGCUGAGGCACGAAAGCGUGGGGAGCAAACAGG
rnacentral:rRNA from 1 species